rnacentral:rRNA from 1 species
GACGAACGCUGGCGGCGUGCUUAACACAUGCAAGUCGAACGGAAAGGCCCUGCUUUUGUGGGGUGCUCGAGUGGCGAACGGGUGUGUAACCCGUGAGUAACCUUCCCUUUACUUUGUGAUAACUUCAGGCAACUGCUGCUAAUACCUGCUAGGUGCUCCUGCUGCAUGGUGGGGUUUGGAAAGUUUCGGCGGUUGGGGAUGUAGUCGCGGGUUAUCAGCUUGUUGGUUGGGUAGUGGCUUACCCAGGCUUUGACGGAUAGUCGGCCUGAGAGGGUGACCGGCGACAAUGGGACUAAGAGACGGACCAGAGUGGAACGGGGGGCAGCAGUGGGGAAUAUGGCACAAGGGGGGGAAGCGUGAGGCAGCAACGCCGGGAGCGGGAAGACGGCCUAGGGGUGGGAAAGCGCAGUAGCCUAAGACGAAGCGGGAGUGACGGUAAUGGGUAAAGAAGCACCGGCUAACUACGUG